GGGGGGCUAGCUCAGCUGGUAGAGCACCGGCCUUUUAAGCCGUGGGUCGUGGGUUCGAACCCCGCGCCCCCCA
rnacentral:tRNA from 1 species